rnacentral:rRNA from 1 species
AUUGAACGCUGGCGGCAGGCCUAACACAUGCAAGUCGAGCGGAUGAAGGGAGCUUGCUCCUGGAUUCAGCGGCGGACGGGUGAGUAAUGCCUAGGAAUCUGCCUGGUAGUGGGGGAUAACGUCCGGAAACGGGCGCUAAUACCGCAUACGUCCUGAGGGAGAAAGUGGGGGAUCUUCGGACCUCACGCUAUCAGAUGAGCCUAGGUCGGAUUAGCUAGUUGGUGGGGUAAAGGCCUACCAAGGCGACGAUCCGUAACUGGUCUGAGAGGAUGAUCAGUCACACUGGAACUGAGACACGGUCCAGACUCCUACGGGAGGCAGCAGUGGGGAAUAUUGGACAAUGGGCGAAAGCCUGAUCCAGCCAUGCCGCGUGUGUGAAGAAGGUCUUCGGAUUGUAAAGCACUUUAAGUGGGGAGGAAGGGCAGUAAGUUAAUACCUUGCUGUUUUGACGUUACCAACAGAAUAAGCACCGGCUAACUUCGUG